AGGAGCUCUUUUCUCCAGGAAGGAGAAGGGAGUUGCCACUGACAUCGGACACCGGGAAGUCGGCUCCUUGUGUUGCGUAAGGUAUAUGAGCACUUUGAAAGCAGAACACCGUUGUUUCCAUGAUUUGAUCAUUCAGAAAUUAUGAAGGCACAGUUCUUGCCUGUGAUUGACUUACAGUCAAGCGGAGUAGACAUAGGUCGUGGUGGCAGUAUAGCCACUUAAGUAUUCUGAAGGAGGAUUUGAGUGAGGUGGAAAUAGAGCAGAAAAACCCUGAAUCUGUCAAACUGGGGAAAAUGAAGAAAAAGGCAAUCAAUUAGUAAGUUGGGCUUAAUGUGUUUUUCUGGGAUUGGGGAAUUGCAGAAAAGAAGCUCUUUAGUAGUAAGACGUGAACUGUUUAGUAGCAUUUCUAAAAUAUUUGGGAGCAUUUUACUGACUUGGGGCAUAGUUGUGCCCUGCUCAUGGUUAAUGCUCCUUGCAAGAGACUUCCUAAUUGACAGAAAAGAUCCUGACUGAUGGACUCUUUCCAAAUCACCAAGUGUUAUCUUGCAUUUAGGUUCAUUAGCCAUUGGUUGCUGUGAAGGAAGCAUAUGUAAGAGUUCAAAUCUCUUAAAGCUUUAAGUUAUAAAAGCAAUCAAUGACCAUUCCCUCAGUGUCUUGACAUGCUAGAAGACAGUGUUCUAAAAGCUGGACUUGUCAUGCUCUUCUGGAGACUAACAAAAUAGAGUCCUUGAAGUCAAGCUGACUCUGCUUUUAGCCUCCUAAAAGAAAAGGUAGAUAGAACAGGUCUUGUGUGCAAAAUGAAUUCAAGACCUACUUAUCUACCAACAGCAAUGAUAACUGUUUGCAUCAUCUUCCUGUAGAAAAUAGGAGUAGUAAAUACAGAGAUGAGUGAGGGUGAAGAGAGACUUAGCCUAUGAGACUCUUACUCUUUAAUUGAUAGGAGAGCGAUUGGAAAUUGGAGAGGUUGGUUAGGAAAGCGGAGGAGAGGACCUUCGUCGAGGAAGUCUCCAGAUGGCUAAACUUCCCUGGAUGGAGACCAGUAUAGUGUUGUUUACAGAAUGCUGCGUCAUGGUGAAUCAUGCUGGGGGCAGCUGUCAGUGUGUGAGCCGUGUAAGGUUUUCACACGUGCUGGAAGAUGGAAAGAGCAGACUGAUGACCAAGCACAAGGUUCAGAAAUAUUUUAUUGGAUGUGUACAAGUGCUUGCAAACUGUUGUUUGAAUCAACAGGAAGUCAGUUAUUAAACAUAAUACUUCUCCAAAGAAAAGGCGAUUCAGUUUUACUAGAAACAGGUGUCAUUUUAUAUCCCAAGUCUCUAACCAACUUCGCAAUCUCAUCUAACAAGGGUGCCUUAGCUAAAUCUCUGAACCCCUGUUAGUCUACACCAGGAUUCUAUGGAGGUUUUACAUAUUCCUUUUCCCCUUUGUUAAGGUGGGGAGGCCAAAGCUUAUGUUAAUUGCUCAGGAGUUAUUUGGUGAUAUAGGUAAAGAGUUAUAUAGGUAAAGCUAAGAAAAGAACAGAUUUUGAUACUUUUUGUCUUAGUUGCCCAUUAUAAAGGAUGGUGGCUACAGUGGUCUGAUGUUUUGUUUUUUUUUAAUCUUUUUCUGUUUUGUUUUUUAACAGAUUUAUCAGCAGGUUGCAGGUGAACAUGGCCUUGAGGUAAAUCCUGCCCCUUGUUGAAAUGUAGUUUCAGUAGAUAGUUCUUGGCAUUUUAAGGAAUUAGAAUAUUUUACAGAAAACAAAAGUUUUGUUUUGGUUCUUUUCUAGACUUUUUUUUUUUCCCUUGUAGAUGAGGAGAAACAUGUUAAAGUUUCUUUAUGCUGAGUAAUUGUGAUACUUGAAGUUGGUCAUCUGCCUUGUUUAAGUGGAUUUUAAAUGUCAAAAGCUAAUUGUAGACCAUUUUUUCUUGAUCAAAAUAAAAUUUUAUUAAAACCUUA